UUAGCACACUCCUCUUAGAUAUUGCCUUCUCCCUUUUUAGGAAACAGCUUCAAAGUGCUCAGCACUCUGAGAGGACAUAUAUACAUAAUAUGCCACCUGCCAUCUUUAGAACCUUGGAAUAGAAUGUGAGCAGAUUGAUUCUCUUUGGUGCUUUAAUAUUUCGAAUAGCAACAUGCUCCGUGGAGUGAGGGAAGAAAUAUCAUCAUGAAGUCCUGUCCCUCACAAGAGAGAACUAGAACUGGGUUUUCAGUGAGAGGAAGGUGAAAGAGCAAUUUAAAAAGAGCACUGAACUUGAAGUUCCUAGUUUGCUCGACUGUGUGAUAUUGGAGAGCCUGAGAGAAGAGGUGAGGAAUAUUCACACUGACCUCUUAGGAAGAUUUGUAACCAGCUCACUGUCUUGACGGUUAAUUCAAGACUGAUGUGCUAGGGGUUCAUGGAUCCUUCUAAACAAGAGUCAAGGAAACUUACUUUGAACUAUUUACAGCCUUUAAUAAUUGAAUAAGGUAUCUUCCUGUGAAGAAAAUUUGGAGCCUAUUUGUUUCUCUCUCUGGUUCCUCUAGAAUUUGGAAGUUAUCUGUGAGUAUUUUUAAUUUACGGCAAUAUACUUGUUUGCAUCAGUAAAAUAAGCAUCCAUUUUUAUUUUGCAACAGGACACAAUUGCAGAAACUGUUUGUUUUACCAAGGGUUUGACUGAAGGGUAUGCUCCACUUUAAGGAGUCAAGCUCGACUUGCAGAGCCAAUGAAAGCCCCUGGAGAAAAAACUGGCUUCAUACCCUUGUCUAUGCAGUCCUUGUAUAGGGUUCCUGACCUGUGGUCAGAAGCAAAUGUCGCUUUCUAACAAGCCCAGGAGCUCCAUGUUCAUCUUGGGACCUUAACAGGAGAGGAUCACCCAACUCACAGGUAUUUGAAGAUACAAACCCAUGGCUAGGCUCAGCUUUAAAAAGUCUGAUCCGAGAUUCCUUGUGGAACAGAGUUCCACCAAAGCCAAUCAAAAAGGUGUAUGUAGAAAUAGUUAUUCUUGCUGUACUUUAUGCAAAUAAUCAGGCCAAGCAUAAGACUAAAGUCUAUUUUGUAAACAAAUCAGUCCUACCACGUUGUUGUUUUUUUUUUAAGCAAAAAUAAGGACUGAAGAGAAAUUAUGUUUCAAAACUUACCAUACCUUUGUCAUUAAAUGCUAAACUCAUUAGUUGUUUUUAAGUUUUUGCCUACAUUUUAGACUAAUCCUACUUGUUCCUGUGAACCAACCAGCAAUCUCCGGCUGCAGCUCAGAAAGAGCAAACAGGAUGGGUAAUGUAGAAAUCUGGAUCGAUAUUCUAGUUCUGAGCAAUAAUACUGCAAAUCCUGCCAGGUGAUGGGAAUAAAUAGUAUAUCCAUCACACGGAGGUUUCCUUUUUGGGAAAGUAAGACCAAGGGAGCUAACCAAAGCCAAGCACCAGGCACCCAAAUCUUAGCAAGCAUAACUAUAACCACCAGUUAUCUGGAAAUGUCACAAGAUAUCAUCUUCUCUGCCUUCUUGGAGGAGGACUCAAUGCCACAGCUUUACCUCAGCAUUUGGCUUAUGUGAAGGAGUCCAUGCAAUUCCCCAUGAGACACAUUAUUGUUCCAAACUCAAUUUCAACCUUCAGGUCAAAGCCCUAGGAAAGACAACUGGAUCUAAGGGAUCCAGAGGCCAAUGAUAACAGAGGUUAAAAGGUGCAGUUGAGGUGAGAAUGUCUAAUUCCUGCCGAUUAAGCCAAGACUCAAGUAACCCUCAUUUCAACAAGUAUGCCUUACCUUUCAUGGAUAAAGGUCAUGCAAGUAUCUAUGGCACAAAUGAGGUCUAGGGAACUCCAAGGCUACCGACAGUAGGGGGAAUAGAGGCAUAGGUGAGAGAAGAUCAUUCCUACUCUCUAAGGCCUCCCUGUUUCAUGGGUGCCUGCUUUGGCACCCUUGGGUAGCACGUGCCAAGGCUGCCGGGACUCAGAGAUGCAAGGAUGGAAGAGGGAAAGAGGACACUCUUUCUUCUCUCCCUCACGUACCCCAGGUAUUUGCUAGGAAGAGAAGGGAACCAGGGAUGCCUGCUCCCCUCUUUCUAGAUGAGUAGCCAUCCAUCUUCACUCUGUACCCCUUUCAAAUGCAUCCUGAACCCCUGGAACUCCUUUGAAGAAAACAUCUUCUUUUUUCCUUUCUCCUCCUCUGUCCUCUCUUCGCUGAUAGGUAAUUGUGUCUGCAUACUACAAAACACUCCCCUUGGAUGCAGCCUCCAAACUGGGAAAAGUUAAUUUCCCAAACCUUAAACCGGUUGGCUUAGUGUUGGGCUCAGGAGAAGGCAACCCAGAAGCCUGACAGGCCGGUAAAAGGGUAAAAGUUGUUUUACCAAUCAGGCUUUUGGCCUCUCUCUGCCUGUGCAAACUGGUAAAAGGCCUUGGGAUUUUUGAGCUGUCCUCACCCCCUACUUGUUUCAUUUUAAUACAUGUUUUCUAAAAACCAGUCUGUCUCUUCUCACAUUCAGGCCAUCAAACUCCAAACACUCUUGCAACCGGAGCCUUGGAUGAUGAGCCCUUCUGCCAGGGACGCUUACAUAGGCCUCUGAGGGAGCUCUGGCUGUCAUUUUCCCAAAACAGCACCCCCUGUCAGCAGGAAGCAGUUAAGAUUGGUCUUCAUCCUUAUCCUUAUUCUAAUGGCAGCUAGAUGUACUUCUUUCAGGGAGAAUGAGACAGUCAAGUAUAAAGGGAUCCCUGGAGAACCUCCGACCAGCCUGUGCACAGUGGAGCUACAGAGGUUCACACUGUUUGCAAGAGGGAGGAGCCUGGUUCCUCCUGUUCCUGGGUGGUAACCAGGGAUUCAAUCUGUGAGGCAAGAAGCCUCCCAACAGGACUCUUGCUUUGUUGAGAGUCCCUGUUUCCCUUUUAUUCCUUUUUGCCAAAUAAAUCCCAUUUUUCUCACCCUUC